AGAGGGGUGCGAGCGUUAAUCGGAAUUACUGGGCGUAAAGGGCGCGUAGGUGGAUAUCUAAGUUGGGAUGUGAAUACCCGGGCUUAACCUGGGAAGGUCAUCUGAAACUGGAUGUCUAGAGUAUGGUAGAGGGAAGUGGAAUUUCCGGUGUAGCGGUGAAAUGCGUAGAUAUCGGAAGGAACAUCAGUGGCGAAGGCGACUUCCUGGACCAAUACUGACACUGAGGCGCGAAAGCGUGGGGAGCGAACAGGAUUAGAUACCCUGGUAGUCCACGCCGUAAACGAUGAGGACUAGCCGUUAGGCCCUUACGGGGGUUUAGUGGCGCAGCUAACGCGAUAAGUUCUCCGCCUGGGGAGUACGGCCGCAAAGGCUA
rnacentral:rRNA from 1 species